rnacentral:rRNA from 1 species
AUUGAACGCUAGCGGGAGGCCUUACACAUGCAAGUCGAACGAGUGGCGGACGGGUGAGUAAUGUAUCGGAACGUGCCCAGUAGCGGGGGAUAACUACUGGAAACAGUGGCUAAUACCGCAUACUAUUGGAGUGGCCGAUAUCGGAUUAGCUAGUGGGUGGGGUAACGGCUCACCAAGGCGACGAUCCUUAGCUGGUCUGAGAGGAUGACCAGCCACACUGGAACUGAGACACGGCCCAGACUCCUACGGGAGGCAGCAGUGGGGAAUAUUGCACAAUGGGGGGAAGCCUGAUGCAGCCAUGCCGCGUGUAUGAAGAAGGCCUUCGGGUUGUAAAGUACUUUCAGCGGGGAAGCGUUACUCGCAGAAGAAGCACCGGCUAACUCCGUGCCAGCAGCCGCGGUAAUUC